UCCCAGUGAGGACAGGGACACAGUACUCGGCCACACCAUGGGGCGCCCACUGCACCUCGUCCUGCUCAGUGCCUCCCUGGCUGGCCUCCUGCUGCUCGGGGAAAGUCUGUUCAUCCGCAGGGAGCAGGCCAACAACAUCCUGGCGAGGGUCACGAGGGCCAAUUCCUUUCUCGAAGAGAUGAAGAAAGGACACCUCGAAAGAGAGUGCAUGGAAGAGACCUGCUCAUACGAAGAGGCCCGCGAGGUCUUUGAGGACAGCGACAAGACGAAUGAAUUCUGGAAUAAAUACAAAGAUGGCGACCAGUGUGAGACCAGUCCUUGCCAGAACCAGGGCAAAUGUAAAGACGGCCUCGGGGAAUACACCUGCACCUGUUUAGAAGGAUUCGAAGGCAAAAACUGUGAAUUAUUCACACGGAAGCUCUGCAGCCUGGACAACGGGGACUGUGACCAGUUCUGCCACGAGGAACAGAACUCUGUGGUGUGCUCCUGCGCCCGCGGGUACACCCUGGCUGACAACGGCAAGGCCUGCAUUCCCACAGGGCCCUACCCCUGUGGGAAACAGACCCUGGAACGCAGGAAGAGGUCAGUGGCCCAGGCCACCAGCAGCAGCGGGGAGGCCCCUGACAGCAUCACAUGGAAGCCGUAUGACGCAGCCGACCUGGACCCCACCGAGAAUCCCUUCGACCUGCUUGACUUCAACCAGACGCAGCCUGAGAGGGGCGACAACAACCUCACCAGGAUCGUGGGAGGCCAGGAAUGCAAGGACGGGGAGUGUCCCUGGCAGGUAACAGUAGGAUGUCCCCUCGGGCCUGCUGGAGAGACCACCUGUCCCGCUGUGCACCUCGGGGAGGCCAGCCUGACACUUGGAAUAGCAAUCCGGGAAGGAACUGUUCCGAACUAGGACAGA
rnacentral:sRNA from 1 species